UGGAACCCUUGUUAAUGGUGUCACAAUCUAGUAACAGCCAUCUCCCAAGCUCACUUGUCUGGAGACAGUCAACAUUGAACAUGCUGAGCUGCUUCUCCACUUUGAGAAGCUGCAGCCUCAGGACCCCAGGUAGAGAAAGUAUCUGUGAAACAUUAAGAAGAUGGCUGACUCCAUCCAGAUGCCACAGGCCAUGCUGCAACAGCCACACAACUGUCAUAGACACCCCAGGGACGGUCUCCCCAGAAGUGACCACCAGUGACCUACCAAAAUCAAGAUUGCAUAUGCAUGUGCUUUUGUGGACAGAAUGUCCAGGUUGCAGAAACCAGAAGACUCUGAUUUGGAGACCAAAACUAAAAGGUAACUGGGCUAUGAGGACAGCCAAUAUUUUGGCCCUGGCAUCUCAAGGUCAACAAAGAUCCAGGACAUGAGGGAACCUUCUCUACAGGGUCCUACAUCUUUGGAACGAAUGAGGGCAUUCACCAGCCAGACAGUCAAGGAAUUCAUCAUGGCAGCGUACCAGCCACUACAACAAAAGGAAGAGGUCCCCACUUGCCAUGGGUCUCAUCAGAUCCACAUCUAGCCCCAAUUUUCACCCCUUGUCAGCAAGAAGCAGCUCCAGAAGAAGAGACCUUCACCCAAUUAUCAUAAAACAAAAGCCUGGAAUGAUAGGUCUCCCACUACCUCAGCAAUUAUUGUGUAUAGUAGCUGCCCUCUUCCUAUGGUGCCUUGCCCCCUCCCCUGUGUGACAUCAUGCCAAGAUGGUUGCUCCCACCAAAGAACAAACCCUUCUUCCCAGCAUGCCCCUGUUCCCGCCUAGAGAGUAACCUAAUACUCACCUCCUACCACCUAUUGACGUCACUGGCUCCUCCAUUCCCUAGUCACUACCUUACUCAACCCCACCUCAGCCCCUACAAGCCCCACCUCAGUCUCUAUAAAAGAUUCUCCCUGCUCCAGCCAUAUUGCUUUUGUCUCUCCUUUGUUCAGAGACAGCCCAGCAGAUCUGUUCCCC
ensembl:lncRNA